AGAGGUAAUCGAUGCAUCACAAUGUCUGUAUCUAAACCAGGCAUAUCUUGAUACGACCAGGCGAACACUUCCACAUAUUCUCUCAGCAUCUCAAUCAGCCUCCUCUUGACAGAGUCCUCUAAAGCAGCCCCAAUCUUGAUUUCCUUUUUGUCGUCCUCAGUACCCAAAUUAAUAGUUUCCAACUCCUCCUGAUGAGGUUGGAUGACCCUUUCCUCCUGCUUCAGCAAUC
rnacentral:lncRNA from 1 species